GAGGACACAGCUGGUGCUCUCUUUGGCAGCAUGAUGCAGAGAAUAUUAGCAUGGCCUCUAUGCAAGGAUGACAUACAAAUUUGUGAAGCAUUUCAUAUUUUU
rnacentral:snRNA from 1 species